CCCAUGGAAGCCCAGCGGGCAGCAGAACCGGCAGAGCGGCGAGAUUCUCCCCUCCCACCGCAGCACCGUACAGGGCACGGCGAGCGCCGCCUGCGACCCUCUCGCCGGCGAUGGAGGAAGUGGGAGUGGAGGUGCCUCUCCCGAGGGAUAAGUUAUCUAUUGAACUGAGAAGGGUCGGAGGAACCCGAGGCGGCGUCGUACUCGUGUCCACCGGGAGCUUCAAUCCUCCCACGUACAUGCACCUGCGCAUGUUUGAACUGGCCAAGGAUGAACUUCAGCAGCGAGGGUAUUAUGUGCUGGGUGGUUACAUGUCUCCAGUGAAUGAUGCGUAUAAGAAGAAGGACCUCUUACCGGCUGCUCACCGGAUUCGUUUUUGUGAACUUGCGUGCAAAAGCUCAUCUUUCGUGAUGGUUGAUCCAUGGGAGGCCAUGCAGAAAGGUUAUCAGCGCACUUUAACUGUCCUCUCGAGAAUUCGGAACUCUUUGUGCAGGGAUGGUUUAGCUGAUCAAGGCAGCCUGAAGGUAAUGCUUUUAUGUGGUUCUGACUUGCUUGAGUCAUUCAGCACUCCAGGAGUUUGGAUCCCAGAUCAGGUCAGAACUAUAUGCAGGGACUUUGGUGUCAUAUGUAUACGCAGGGAAGGGAAAGAUGUUGGCAAUUUGAUAGCUGGCAGUGAUAUACUGCAAGAAUGCGUGGAUAACAUCAUUUCGGUCGAUGAGAUUGUGCCAAAUCAAAUCAGUUCAUCCAGAGUAAGGUAUCAGUUUUACAGACAGAGACUGCAUAAAAAGAUGCCUGUCGAUAAAGUAUCUUACUUGCGAUGAAGUAAUUGAAUACAUUACAGAACACAAGCUGUUUACGGAAGCUAAAGGCGGUGAUACACCCUUGCGAUGAUAAUGGUGUUUGGAGGUUUUUACUAUCACACAGUUAAAUGACUUCUUCGUAAUCAAGAUGUAUGGGCUGUGGAUGGCUAUCUCCAGAUAACUUCUGGAUCUGGCAUGUUGAGCAAUUGUGGAAAUUUCAUUUGAAAUAGAAAAUAAAAGGGUUACGGACACACACCAUGAAAUAAAAGGAGCAGUUUGUAUCUUUGUUAGUUUGGCUUAAAUGGAAAAGAUUCAGAAGCAAGGAUGCUCACUUUUGUUCGCAUUCUCAUUCUCAACAAUAUGAUGCUCACUUUUUCUUAUCAACCAGUGCCAUCUGAUGUUCUAAAUACCAAUCAUUGUGAACUAGGAUUAGGGAUAUGCUGUCAUGUACUGGUUGAUAAAUCAAA